rnacentral:rRNA from 1 species
CACGUAGGGGGCAAGCGUUGUCCGGAUUUAUUGGGCGUAAAGCGCUCGUAGGCGGCUUAGUAAGUCGGGUGUGAAACCUCCAGGCUCAACCUGGAGACGCCACCCGAUACUGCUGUGGCUAGAGUCCGGUAGGGGAGCGUGGAAUUCCUGGUGUAGCGGUGAAAUGCGCAGAUAUCAGGAGGAACACCAGCGGCGAAGGCGGCGCUCUGGGCCGGUACUGACGCUGAGGAGCGAAAGCGUGGGGAGCAAACAGG